CCUACGGGAGGCAGCAGUGGGGAAUUUUGGACAAUGGGCGAAAGCCUGAUCCAGCAAUGCCGCGUGCAGGAAGAAGGCCUUCGGGUUGUAAACUGCUUUUGUACGGAACGAAACGGUCUGCUUUAAUACAGUGGGCUAAUGACGGUACCGUAAGAAUAAGCACCGGCUAACUACGUGCCAGCAGCCGCGGUAAUACGUAGGGUGCGAGCGUUAAUCGGAAUUACUGGGCGUAAAGCGUGCGCAGGCGGUUAUAUAAGACAGUUGUGAAAUCCCCGGGCUCAACCUGGGAAUUGCAUCUGUGACUGUAUAGCUAGAGUACGGUAGAGGGGGAUGGAAUUCCGCGUGUAGCAGUGAAAUGCGUAGAUAUGCGGAGGAACACCGAUGGCGAAGGCAAUCCCCUGGACCUGUACUGACGCUCAUGCACGAAAGCGUGGGGAGCAAACAGGAUUAGAUACCCUGGUAGUCCACGCCCUAAACGAUGUCAACUGGUUGUUGGGUGCAUUAGUACUCAGUAACGAAGCUAACGCGUGAAGUUGACCGCCUGGGGAUACGGCCGCAAGGUUGAAACUCAAAGGAAUUGACGGNNGNGAGNGCGAGACGACGACGAGGGAGGAGG
rnacentral:rRNA from 1 species